rnacentral:rRNA from 1 species
CCUACGGGAGGCAGCAGUGAGGAAUAUUGGUCAAUGGACGAGAGUCUGAACCAGCCAAGUAGCGUGAAGGAUGACUGCCCUAUGGGUUGUAAACUUCUUUUAUAAAGGAAUAAAACGAGGCACGUGUGCCUUUUUGCAUGUACUUUAUGAUUAAGGAUCGGCUAACUCCGUGCCAGCAGCCGCGGUAAUACGGAGGAUCCGAGCGUUAUCCGGAUUUAUUGGGUUUAAAGGGAGCGUAGAUGGGUUGUUAAGUCAGUUGUGAAAGUUUGCGGCUCAACCGUAAAAUUGCAAUUGAUACUGGCAGUCGUGAGUACAGUUGAGGUAGGCGGAAUUCGUGGUGUAGCGGUGAAAUGCUUAGAUAUCACGAAGAACCCCGAUUGCGAAGGCAGCUUACUAAACUGUGACUGACAUUGAUGCUCGAAAGUGUGGGUAUCAAACAGGAUUAGAUACCCCAGUAGUC